ACGGAGGGAGCUAGCGUUGUUCGGAAUUACUGGGCGUAAAGCGCACGUAGGCGGCUUUGUAAGUCAGAGGUGAAAGCCUGGAGCUCAACUCCAGAACUGCCUUUGAGACUGCAUCGCUUGAAUCCAGGAGGGGUGAGUGGAAUUCCGAGUGUGGGGGUGAAUGGCGUGGAUUUGCGGAAGAUCGGCAGUGGCGAGGGCAGCUAACUGGACUUGUAUUGAUUCUGAGGGUCGAAAGCGUGGUGAUCAAAAAG
rnacentral:rRNA from 1 species